UACAGAGGGUGCAAGCGUUAAUCGGAAUAACUGGGCGUAAAGGGCGCGUAGGUGGGUUGAUAAGUGAGAUGUGAAAUACCCGAGCUUAACUUGGGGGAGUCAUCUCAUACUGUCAAUCUAGAGUAUAGGAGAGGUAAGUGGAAUUUCCGGUGUAGCGGUGAAAUGCGUAGAUAUCGGAAGGAACACCUGUGGCGAAGGCGACUUUCUGGCCUAAUACUGACACUAAGGCGCGAAAGCGUGGGUAGCAAACAGG
rnacentral:rRNA from 1 species